AUUGAACGCUGGCGGCAGGCUUAACACAUGCAAGUCGAACGAGCGGCGGACGGGUGAGUAAUGUCUGGGAACCUGCCUGAUGUAGGGGGAUAACUGCUGGAAACGGUAGCUAAUACCGCCUACCAUCCUAUGUGCCCAGAUGGGAUUAGCUAGUAGGUGGGGUAAUGGCUCACCAAGGCGACGAUCCCUAGCUGGUCUGAGAGGAUGACCAGCCACACUGGAACUGAGACACGGUCCAGACUCCUACGGGAGGCAGCAGUGGGGAAUAUUGGACAAUGGGCGCAAGCCUGAUGCAGCCACGCCGCGUGUGUGAAGAAGGCCUUCGGGUUGUAAAGCACUUUCAGCGAGGAGGCGGUACUCGCAGAAGAAGCACCGGCUAACUCCGUGCCAGCAGCCGCGGUAAUAC
rnacentral:rRNA from 1 species